GCCGAGCUCGGUAAUGUGAGCUUGUAACUCAAAUGAGGGCUUUAAAGUGGUUGAAAGGGGGCUAGGCCCAACGUGUAGGGUCUCUUUGUGGAAUUACACCGGACCGCCCUAUCCAAGAAAGAAGUUGGGCUUUGGGUUCUUGGCGAAGGCCCAGGGUUUCAUUGCCCUUAGAGAUCGAGGAUACCGCGUGAGGCUGGUUCACAGAGCAGCGUCACCUCCCGCUUCUGUCAGUGGAUGGAUUACGGGCCGGUUCUCUUGGGCCCGAACAUACCCGGUGGGAAUGCCUCACAGCCUAACAACCUACUUUU
rnacentral:SRP_RNA from 1 species